GACGAACGCUGGCGGCGUGCUUAACACAUGCAAGUCGAACGGUAAGGCCCCUUCGGGGGUCCACGAGUGGCGAACGGGUGAGUAACACGUGAGCAACCUGCCCUUGACUCUGGAAUAACAGUUGGAAACAGCUGCUAAUACUGGAUAUUCAUCGUCUCCUUCCUGGGGGGUGGUGGAAAGCUCCGGCGGUCAGGGAUGGGCUCGCGGCCUAUCAGCUUGUUGGUGAGGUAAUGGCUCACCAAGGCUUCGACGGGUAGCCGGCCUGAGAGGGCGACCGGCCACACUGGGACUGAGAUACGGCCCAGACUCCUACGGGAGGCAGCAGUGGGGAAUAUUGCACAAUGGGCGCAAGCCUGAUGCAGCAACGCCGCGUGCGGGAUGACGGCCUUCGGGUUGUAAACCGCUUUCAGUAGGGACGAAGGGUGACUGACGGUACCUACAAAAGAAGGACCGGCUAACUACGUG
rnacentral:rRNA from 1 species